UAAAAAGUGUGGCGUCAGCAUUGCUGAA
rnacentral:sRNA from 1 species